GGGGUUGUAGCUCAGUGGUAGAGCGCUCACCUAGCAUGUGUGAGACCCUGAGUUCGAUCCUCUGCACCA
rnacentral:tRNA from 1 species